rnacentral:rRNA from 1 species
AAUGGGGGAAACCCUGAUGCAGCCAUGCCGCGUGUGUGAAGAAGGCCUUCGGGUUGUAAAGCACUUUCAGCGAGGAGGAAAGGGGUGAUGCUAAUACCAUCAUCCUGUGACGUUACUCGCAGAAGAAGCACCGGCUAACUCCGUGCCAGCAGCCGCGGUAAUACGGAGGGUGCAAGCGUUAAUCGGAAUAACUGGGCGUAAAGCGCACGCAGGCGGUCGGAUAAGUCAGAUGUGAAAGCCCCGGGCUCAACCUGGGAACUGCAUUUGAAACUGUUCGACUAGAGUCUUGUAGAGGGGGGUAGAAUUCCAGGUGUAGCGGUGAAAUGCGUAGAGAUCUGGAGGAAUACCGGUGGCGAAGGCGGCCCCCUGGACAAAGACUGACGCUCAGGUGCGAAAGCGUGGGGAGCAAA